rnacentral:lncRNA from 1 species
CCCCACUGUACGCAUUCCAGCGAGAGCCCACAUGCAAGAUCAGAAGCUGUUAUCUUGAAAAGCUCUCUCUUUCGAAAUUGCAUGUGCGAGCACCGUUCACAUGAGAGCUUUUCUCUCUGCAAACAUAGCUUACGGCUAGCCCUUCGAGAACCUUCUUAGCUCUCUCACACACAGCUUUUGGAGGGGUAAAAUAGUUAGGCUAAGUGCAUGCUGCACAGAACAAAAAUUGCAUUCAAGGUUGGAAGACUUAAUUGAUGUGCGUGUAGAAAAUAUACAAAAAAAAAAAAAACGUGGUGAAAAUUUUGCAAAACCAUAAAAGGGAACAUAAACCAAAUAAAACCAAUAUAAAAGUGUUGUGGCUGCAAAGACGAAAACUUAAAAACCAACCCCUGGAUAAGGUACGCCAAGAAAAAAAUGAAAAAGUGACCUUAUUACAUAAUUCCAUGUAUGUACUGUACAUAGGUUAUGAUCCACGUGUGGCAGGAAAUUGCUGACCUGGCCUGACCCUCGGUCCCGGAGGGGGGGUCCGCUCCAGUACCACGAUCAUCAGUCCUUCUUUUUGGUGCCACCGGACCUUGCCUGCAGGUUGUUGGUUUAUACAUAUAUCGAGUUGUUUAUAUAUAUAUAUCUCACGCGCAACUAUAAAACCAUCUAUUAUAUUAUAUCACCGCGCCUUGUGUAAAGAAAUGUUGGUGCUUGCAUAUGUAGGGUGUGGAAAAAUUAGCUCAGCGGUCAUUGCCCUUGCGGCUGACCAUACACCUAUGCGCACUUAAAUAGACCCACCUGACCGUAUGUCACCUAUUCUCUCCUUCUCUCAGGUUAUUAAAAUUGUUCGAUGCCGACAUUCUAAAAGCCACUUAAGGGAAGAAAAGUAAAUCACAAAAAUCUAGAAAAGAAAAUAAUGAAAAAUCAUGGAGAGAAGAAAAAAAAUAGAAAAGAAAAUUGUUCAAUAAUAUUAAAUAUUCCUAGACAUUAACUUAGAAAUAGAAGAAGAAAAACAUGAAAUUUAUGCGUAGUUAAUAAUAGAUUCUAAAGGGUGCAUCAUCGGUCUCAUUGUGUCCAUGGAAGGGUAUUGGUAAAAUACCUCUUCAUAACGCUUCUUGUUAUUUUGCAUAUUUCUACAUUUCUUUAACAGUUAGAACGUGAAAUUGGGCCCAACGACACCAACAGCUGUUUAAAAGUCUGUAAGUAGACACACAUAUACACACAUACACUCCGGGUCAGGAGAAUAGCGUCUACACAGUGAGACAUGCAUGCUUAACCAUAUAUAAAAUGAAUUAUUAUUAACUAUAAUCACUACAAUUAUGCCAUUUAAUUCAUUUAAUUAAUUAAUUCUUACUUUAUAUUUUGAUUAUAUUAUUUUUAUUCAUAUUUGAUCAUUCUCUUGAAUUCCUAUGUAUUAAAUUAGUCCCACAUAUAUAUACACAUGCAGUAAAAAUAGUUUUAAGGGUUAGGGUAGAAAUAAUGGGGGUUACAAACAACCUGAAGUCAUACAAGUCAAANUUGAUGUGCGUGUAGAAAAUAUACAAAAAAAAAAAAAAAAAAAAAACGUGGUGAAAAUUUUGCAAAACCAUAAAAGGGAACAUAAACCAAAUAAAAACCAAUAUAAAAGUGUUGUGGCUGCAAAGACGAAAACUUAAAAACCAACCCCUGGAUAAGGUACGCCAAGAAAAAAAUGAAAAAGUGACCUUAUUACAUAAUUCCAUGUAUGUACUGUACAUAGGUUAUGAUCCACGUGUGGCAGGAAAUUGCUGACCUGGCCUGACCCUCGGUCUCGGAGGGGGGGUCCGCUCCAGUACCACGAUCAUCCGUCCCUCUUUUUGGUGCCACCGGACCUUGCCUGCAGGCGAAAAAACGGAUGGACUUGGCGAUCGGGACCGAGUUGUUUAUAUACAUAUAUCUCACGCGCAACUAUAAAACCAUCUAUUAUAUUAUAUCACCGCGCCUUGUGUAAAGAAAUGUUGGUGCUUGCAUAUGUAGGGUGUGGAAAAAUUAGCUCAGCGGUCAUUGCCCUUGCGGCUGACCAUACACCUAUGCGCACUUAAAUAGACCCACCUGACCGUAUGUCACCUAUUCUCUCCUUCUCUCAGGUUAUUAAAAUUGUUCGAUGCCGACAUUCUAAAAGGCACUUAAGGGAAGAAAAGUAAAUCAAAAAAAUCUAGAAAAGAGAAUUUAAUGAAAAAUCAUGGAUAGAAGAAAAAAAAUAGAAAAGAAAAUUGUUCAAUAAUAUUAAAUAUUCCUAGACAUUAACUUAGAAAUAGAAGAAGAAAAACAUGAAAUUUAUGCGUAGUUAAUAAUAGAUUCUAAAAGGGUGUAAGAUCGGUCUCAUUGUGUCCAUGGAAGGGUAUUGGUAAAAUACCUCUUCAUAACGCUUCUUGUUAUUUUGCAUAUUUCUACAUUUCUUUAACAGUUAGAACGUGAAAUUGGGCCCAACGACACCAACAGCUGUUUAAAGGUCUGUAAGUAGACACACAUAUACACACAUACACUCCGGGUCAGGAGAAUAGCGUCUACACAGUGAGACAUUCAUGCUUAACCAUAUAUAAAAUGAAUUAUUAUUAACUAUAAUCACUACAAUUAUGCCAUUUAAUUCAUUUAAUUAAUUAAUUCUUACUUUAUAUUUUGAUUAUAUUAUUUUUAUUCAUAUUUGAUCAUUCUCUUGAAUUCCUAUUAUUAAAUUAGUCCCACAUAUAUAUACACAUGCAGUAAAAAUAGUUUUAAGGGUUAUGGUAGAAAUAAUGGGGGUUACAAACAACCUGAAGUCAUACAAGUCAAAGUAAAAUUAUAACGAUUUAACAUGAAUUUCUAAUCUGAUUUUUGGGAGGGGUUCCUAAGGCACAUAGGCAGCAGCGGCAGGUUUUGGGUAGAACCAUAAUGGCAUAUUCUUGUGUUAUUCUACAUGGAGAGUGGGUCAAGAGGGAAGAGCACAACCACCUUGCUCUUCACAGUAGGUAGUGGACCUUAAGUUCCGUCCGGGUUUGUAAUUCCAAUCCCAGUUCCCGUGAAUCUGUCUACGAUUUUGUUAGGUGAAGGAGUUCGUUUUCGCAGCACAACACCCACCCCAUUUGCCCUGAGCCUAGCCGGCAACUUUUAGUAGACAGAGAGUGCUGACGAGACGACACUUCCCGUGUCCGUUACAUAAUAAAUGGCGCCCAACGUGGGGCUCGAAUGGUCCGUUUUCCCAAUAACCUUCCCCAAUCCCUUCCGCAACCCAAUAUUGAUCCAAAUUUUAAGGUAGUUCAGUUUUUGUGUUAUAUGUCCAGCUCGGAACUGCUGGGAAUCUGAUCAUUGUCGGACACAGACCAGUGGAUAUAUUGCAUAGAAGAAGAUCACAGUAGACUUCAUUAUAUCAUUUCAUCAGGAUACUAGGAACGAUAGUUCUGAGUAAAUUGGUUCUAUACCUAGUAGCGAAGAUGAAUGACCUUUAUUCUCUCGAGAUUAGUUGAGAGAACAAGUCUGACCUCUUAAGCCAGGACAAGGAGGAAAAGAGCUUUCCUUCAUCAACCAAAUUUUCUUUUCUUUCUUUCUGCUUACGGACUUAAGGUUAUAACAACCGAAGACAUUCCUUCUGCUGUGCUGGUGCCUGGUAGGAGACCCUCCCAAUCAUUGCCCAUAUUUUCGAAUUUAGAAUCAAACAAAAAAAAAAAAAUCUUUCUGGUCUUAAAGACCAUAUCGUUAUAUAACUUAUAUCGUUUUUCCUUAAUCAUAAUUUGUUACAAUGGCGGUAAGGCGAAGUAUUGACAAUAUAAAUGUUAAUCUCGGCGAGGUAGUCGUACACUGCACUAUAUGCAAUGAUACUAGCCAGGACACCGACAUUGUAGAAACCCAUUGCAAACACAAAUCCCACAGGUCGUGUUUAUCGGAUUGGUUGACAUCCAAUGAGACAUGCCCGAUUUGUAGGCAGCUGUGUUCGUUACCGUUGCGUUAACAAUCUCAAUCGAAUUUACAGAGUGGGGAAAAUGCCGCGGCGAAUUUGUCGUACACCGGAGCAAUUCCAAAAAAUCGUCCUAAAACAAGGUCACAGGUACGAAAUACCCCAAAAGCCUCAAGUGCACGACUUAACCCUCGACCAGGACCUGGCCAGACUAGACGUGCUCAGGAAUCCAAUGUUCUUUCCGAAGGAAAUAUCCAACGACUUAUUUCAGAGUCCAUGACUAAAUUUCAGGAAAAUAUGACCGCAGUUAUUUCAGAGAAGAUAACAACGGAGUUGAGGAAUCUGAACCUGACAAAUGUUUCUAGGAACUUCCGGGAGGAGCCCCAGCUUGAAUGGGAGAGUGAUAUUGCUCCAUCCUUCCCUCGAAUGAGCAGCGCUAGUAAUCUUCGUAACCAUAGUUACAGGCCACGCCCAUCUAGUGCUCGUGCGAAUUUCACAGACCUUCCUAGUGAAUCUCCUGAUAAGAUCUCAAAUAUCAUUACCAAGUGACAUAUAAAAUUAAGUGAAUAUUCCAANGGAACCGCUGGGAAUCUGAUCAUUGUCGGACCCAGACCAGUGGAUAUAUUGCAUAGAAGAAGAUCACAGUAGACUUCAUUAUAUCAUUUCAUCAGGAUACUAGGAACGAUAGUUCUGAGUAAAUUGGUUCUAUACCUAGUAGCGAAGAUGAAUGACCUUUAUUCUCUCGAGAUUAGUUGAGACUUGUUCAGACUGGAGAAUUCGGUCCUGUUCCUCCUUUUCUCGAAAGGAUCAUCAACCAAAUUUUCUUUUCUUUCUUUCUGCUUACGGACUUAAGGUUAUAACAACCGAAGACAUUCCUUCUGCUGUGCUGGUGCCUGGUAGGAGACCCUCCCAAUCAUUGCCCAUAUUUUCGAAUUUAGAAUCAAAAAAAAAAAAAAAAUCUUUCUGGUCUUAAAGACCAUAUCGUUAUAUAACUUAUAUAGUUUUUCCUUAAUCAUAAUUUGUUACAAUGGCGGUAAGGCGAAGUAUUGACAAUAUAAAUGUUAAUCUCGGCGAGGUAGUCGUACACUGCACUAUAUGCAAUGAUACUAGCCAGGACACCGACAUUGUAGAAACCCAUUGCAAACACAAAUACCACAGGUCGUGUUUAUCGGAUUGGUUGACAUCCAAUGAGACAUGCCCGAUUUGUAGGCAGCUGUGUUCGUUACCGUUGCGUUCACAAUCUCAAUCGAAUUUACAGAGUGGGGAAAAUGCCGCGGCGAAUUUGUCGUACACCGGAGCAAUUCCGAAAAAUCGUCCUAAAACAAGGUCACAGGUACGAAAUACCCCAAAAGCCUCAAGUGCACGACUUAACCCUCGACCAGGACCUGGCCAGACUAGACGUGCUCAGGAAUCCAAUGUUCUUUCCGAAGGAAAUAUCCAACGACUUAUUUCAGAGUCCAUGACUAAAUUUCAGGAAAAUAUGACCGCAGUUAUUUCAGAGAAGAUAACAACGGAGUUGAGGAAUCUGAACCUGACAAAUGUUUCUAGGAACUUCCGGGAGGAGCCCCAGCUUGAAUGGGAGAGUGAUAUUGCUCCAUCCUUCCCUCGAAUGAGCAGCGCUAGUAAUCUUCGUAACCAUAGUUACAGGCCACGCCCAUCUAGUGCUCGUGCGAAUUUCACAGACCUUCCUAGUGAAUCUCCUGAUAAGAUCUCAAAUAUCAUUUCCAAGUGGCGUAUAAAAUUCAGUGGAUCUUCCAAAGAUAUUCCCAUCGAAGAUUUUAUUUAUAGAGUGAAUUGUCUUACCAAUAAUUGUUUAAAUGGAAACUUUACCUUACUGGCGCAGUUCGCCAGUCUCUUAUUUACUGAUUCAGCCUUGUCAUUUUACUGGCGUGUUCAUAGGACCACGAAUAACCUUGACUGGUAUGAGUUAUGCAGCCGGUUGCAAGAGAGAUACCAGGAUCAACGUUCGGAUCGAGAGAUCAAAGCAGCCAUGCGUAGGCGUAAACAGGGUAGUAAUGAAAGCUUUGACGAUUUUCUAGAUGCGAUGCUAUCUAUCGCAGACUCUUUACGAGAGCCUAUGCAGGACGGUGACGUCACCAUAGAGGUUCGAUAGAAUUUAAAGUCGGAACUGAAGCUCGACUUGCUUCAUAUCGAAACUCCAGAUUUGGCAACCUUACGCAAGGAGUGUCACAAGCACGAGGAAUUCUUUCGAAAUCUGAAGUCAAAGCCUUUUUCGCGACACGAAGUAGUGAAUAGCAAGAGGUUUGUGAACUCCAUUAGUCAUGACGAAGAAGCUGAUGAUAAUUCCGAAAAAGAAGGGGACUCCCUUGACGAAGUUUAUGCACUCCGAUCUUCCGAAAUCAGUAAAUGCUGGAAUUGCGAAGAACAGGGCCACAAAUACCAGGAAUGCCUAAAACCUCGUCGUAUUUUCUGUUAUGGUUGUGGUGUACCUGAUACGUACAAGCCCAACUGUGCAAAGUGUAAAUCGACUACGGAAAACGUAUCCCAGGAUGUCCGUCGGUCAACAAGACGCGACAUCCGACGUUAGUCUCGGAUGUUCAACAUACACAUUUUAUUACCGGACGUGAACUUAAACCAGACAUAUCCAAAUCCUCCUCAGACAUACCACUCCCCCUACAUUUCAGACCAUACCAUAUUAGACUUCGAGAAUAUCAGAAGCGCAGAGCCGCAAUUUUUGAUCCCAAACCUCCUUUAGCGGUGUUGUCUCGUUCAGCGGAACGAAUGCGUGAAUUUUGGAAGCGAAAGAGAAGCCUACGUCACGUCACUGUUUCCUCGGUCGUUCACAAAGCGAGCGAUAUUCGUCCUUUUACUCAAGUUUAGAUACUCGGUGAGAGUUAAAUUGCGCUAUUAGAUAGCGGAGCCAAAAAAAGCGUCAUCGGAGGAAAAUUAGCCGAUAAAAUUUUCUCGAAAAAUCUUCUGACAAACAAUAUGAAAGGCGUUGUUCGUACUCCUGACGGUCAGACUCUGAUUGUAGCUGGUUUUAUUAAAGUUCCUCUGAAUUACAAUUCAAUACACUCGGACUUUGAAUUUCUAAUAGUUUCAUCUAUCCAACAGGAUAUAAUAUGUGGAAUGGACUUUUGGAAAAGAUUUGGCAUUUCUAUCGUUCCAUCAUCAUCAUGGACAGUAAGCGAGUUAUCCUUUCAAUCCGAGCACGAGUUGCUCAAGUUAGCCUUGUCGAUUUCUCAAAAGAAGCAGUUACAGCACGUGAUCGAAUUGUUUCCGUCAUUCGAAAAGAAUGGACUGGGGUUAACGACCCUAAUAGAGCACCACAUUGAUACGGCUAACAGCAAGCCAGUUAAGCAAAGAUUUUACCCUUUGUCUCCAGCAAAGGAGACGCUUUUAUGUGCAGAGAUCGAUCGCAUGUUGAGUAUGGACGUUAUUGAAGAAGCUCCGAGCUCCCCGUGGUCAUCUCCUGUCACACUGCACAUCAAACCUGGUAAGGUGCGACUUUGUCUAGAUGCCCGCAAACUCAACGCAGUUACAGUCAGAGAUGCGUAUCCAAUUCCGAUCAUGGAUGGCUUGUUAAGUAGGUUGCCGCCGGUUCACUGUAUUACAAAGAUAGACCUUAAGGAUGCCUUCUGGCAGAUUAGAUUAGACCAAGAAUCUCGUGCGAAAACAGCUUUCACAGUACCAAAUAGGCCCCUUUAUCAGUUUAAAAGAAUGCCGUUUGGAUUGACAAACGCGCCACACACGAUGAGUCGGUUGAUGGACAUUGUAAUUCCGUAUCAACUCAAAUCUCAUGUGUUGGUAUAUCUUGAUGACUUAUUGGUGCUUUCAAACAACUUUGAAGACCACUUGCUACAUUUAUCGGAAGUUGCUCUUCAAUUACACAAGGCCGGACUGACAAUAAACAUGCAGAAGAGUCAGUUCUGUCUGAAACGGGUGGACUACCUUGGGUAUCUUGUGGGUGAGGGGACGCUUCAAGUUAAUUCAGAGAAAGUGCGAGCCGUGGAUGAAUUUCCGAUACCGAAGACUCAAAAGCAACUAAGGAGAUUUCUAGGAAUGACUGGGUGGUAUCAACGUUUUAUUCCCAACUACUCUUCUGUUAUCUUUUCUCUCACCGAACUACUCCGUGGAAAGUCGUAUGAAUGGAAUGAAAAGGCACAAGCGGCGUUUGAUGAUAUCAAGUGUAAAUUAUGCUCAGGUCCAUUUUUAAUUCAUCCCAAUUACGACAAGCCUUUUGUAGUUCAAUGCGAUGCAUCUCUUCAUGGGGUAGGUGCAGUUUUAGCCCAAUGUGAUGACUCAGGUUGCGAGCGUCCGUUAGCUUACAUGUCCAAGAAGCUGAACAAGGCUCAGCGAAACUACACGGUAACGGAACUCGAAUGCUUGGCGGUAGUACUGGCCAUAAAAAAAUUCCGCAUGUACAUCGAUGGUCAUCCCUUCAAAGUUGUUACGGAUCAUGCAAGCCUCCGUUGGCUUAUGAACCAGUCAGAUCUCAGCGGUAGAUUAGCCAGAUGGGCACUAAAAUUACAAGGUUACUCGUUCGAAAUCGAGCAUAGGAAAGGAAGCGAAAAUGUAGUGGCUGACGCUUUGUCUCGUUCAUUCGAAGGUGUUACGGAAGUAGCGGUUUUGGAAUGCGAAGUGUUACCGGAAAUCGAUAUAAAGUCGGAUGCGUUUCAGUCGCCGGAGUAUCGAUCACUCAGAGAGAAAUUCGUGCUUUCCAAACUCCCAGAUUUUCAAGUAAUCGACGAUUACAUAUAUUAUCGUACAGGGUUUUCCGUGUUGGAUUNAACUCAACGCAGUUACAGUCAGAGAUGCGUAUCCAAUUCCGAUCAUGGAUGGCUUGUUAAGUAGGUUGCCGCCGGUUCACUGUAUUACAAAGAUAGACCUUAAGGAUGCCUUCUGGCAGAUUAGAUUAGACCAAGAAUCUCGUGCGAAAACAGCUUUCACAGUACCAAAUAGGCCGCUUUAUCAGUUUAAAAGAAUGCCGUUUGGAUUGACAAACGCGCCACACACGAUGAGUCGGUUGAUGGACAUUGUAAUUCCGUAUCAACUCAAAUCUCAUGUGUUGGUAUAUCUUGAUGACUUAUUGGUGCUUUCAAACAACUUUGAAGACCACUUGCUACAUUUAUCGGAAGUUGCUCUUCAAUUACACAAGGCCGGACUGACAAUAAACAUGCAGAAGAGUCAGUUCUGUCUGAAACGGGUGGACUACCUUGGGUAUCUUGUGGGUGAGGGGACGCUUCAAGUUAAUUCAGAGAAAGUGCGAGCCGUGGAUGAAUUUCCGAUACCGAAGACUCAAAAGCAACUAAGGAGAUUUCUAGGAAUGACUGGGUGGUAUCAACGUUUUAUUCCCAACUACUCUUCUGUUAUCUUUUCUCUCACCGAACUACUCCGUGGAAAGUCGUAUGAAUGGAAUGAAAAGGCACAAGCAGCGUUUGAUGAUGUCAAGUGUAAAUUAUGCUCAGCUCCAUUUUUAAUUCAUCCCAAUUACGACAAGCCUUUUGUAGUUCAAUGCGAUGCAUCUCUUCAUGGGGUAGGUGCAGUUUUAGCCCAAUGUGAUGACUCAGGUUGCGAGCGUCCGUUAGCUUACAUGUCCAAGAAGCUGAACAAGGCUCAGCGAAACUACACGGUAACGGAACUCGAAUGCUUGGCGGUAGUACUGGCCAUAAAAAAAUUCCGCAUGUACAUCGAUGGUCAUCCCUUCAAAGUUGUUACGGAUCAUGCAAGCCUCCGUUGGCUUAUGAACCAGUCAGAUCUCAGCGGUAGAUUAGCCAGAUGGGCACUAAAAUUACAAGGUUACUCGUUCGAAAUCGAGCAUAGGAAAGGAAGCGAAAAUGUAGUGGCUGACGCUUUGUCUCGUUCAUUCGGAGGUGUUACGGAAGUAGCGGUUUUGGAAUGCGAAGUGUUACCGGAAAUCGAUAUAAAGUCGGAUGCGUUUCAGUCGCCGGAGUAUCGAUCACUCAGAGAGAAAUUCGUGCUUUCCAAACUCCCAGAUUUUCAAGUAAUCGACGAUUACAUAUAUUAUCGUACAGGUUUUUCCGUGUUGGAUUCUGACCAAGCCGAUGAGUCGUGGAAAAAAUUGUUGUUCCCGAAGCCUUGAGACAGGGCGUAAUUAAAGCUGCGCAUGACCAACCUUCCUCUGCACAUUGUGGGAUUGCCAAAUGCCUCGACCAAAUAAGACAACGAUUUUACUGGCCAAAAAUGGUUAUAGACGUCCGCGAUUAUUUUUCCGCAUGUGAUGUAUGCCAGACCACAAAACAUCCCACACGCUCUCUCAAACCUCCUAUGGGCGCUAGAGUAGUUAGCGAACGUCCCUUUCAACGGUUGUACAUCGAUUUCAUUGGUCCCUUUCCUCGAAGCAGAAAGGGCAACAUAGGAAUAUUUAUCAUCCUGGAUCACAAGAGUUUUAAAUGGAAGAAUUUCCGGGUCAAGAAAUUUACUUCCCAGAUAGUGAUUGACAUAUUGAGGGAAGAGAUAUUUUCAUGUUAUGGAGUGCCGGAAGUGCUAGUGAGCGAUAACGGUACGCAGUUUAAAAGUAGUGAUUUUUCUAAAUUCCUUUUGAAGUACGGUGUUCAGCACUUAUGUACAGGGGCGUAUGAUCCACAGUCGAAUGCCGCGGAAAGGGUUAACCGAUCGAUUAAUGCCGCGCUCAGAGCGUACGUUCGUACUGACCAUCGUGAAUGUUAUGUGUUCCUUAGUAGCAUAAACUGUUCGUUGAGAAAAUCAAUACACCAAUCAGUUGGCAUGGCACCAUAUUUUGUGGUCUUUGGUCAGCACAUGAUUUCACAUGGCCAAGAUUACAAAAUGUUGCGAGAAGUCGAAUUACUCAACGAGGGUGAGGGAAAAUUGUCAAGAGCUGACGGAAUUUCAGAAGAUUCGCUCAAACAUCGAGAAACACCUGACAAAAGCUUACGAGAGAAAUCAACGCACUUACGACCUGAGAUCCAAGCCUCGUUCGUUUGAGGUAGGUCAAGAAGUAAUAAAGAGAAAUUUUUCUUUGAGUAGCGCGGCCAAUAACGUUAACGCUAAACUAGCUCCAGUUGGAGUGAAGGCUCGCGUAAAGCAGAAUGUGGCCAACUGAUUUAUCUACUGGAAGACUUGAACGGUAAAGAGCUGGGGAAAUUUCACAUUAAGGAUAUUUGGUAGCUAGAGACAAAAGUCUGCACCCUUCCUUGUUGUUGUUUCAGUUUUAUCUUUGGUCAAAACCCUAAGACAAAAUCUGGCGGGGGGGUGUGAAGGUUGCAGACCAAAAACAAAAGGUUAGAAUGUCUGUUUUUUUGGGGAACUCAGAAGAUUAAAAUAGUUCUUUUAUAACUUGGAGGGGGUGACAUGCGUAAGGUCGCUCUCGGGUGUACGUUCUAGUCUUCGACAAUAGAACUUUUCGAGAGAGAAAGCUUUAACGUACACGCUCGUGGCAAGUGUACACUCGAAAAGAGAGACGUUUGUAUCGAAUGCCGAUCGGGAAGCUCUUCCUUCUUAGCUCUCGCACACACAGCUUUUGGAGGGGUAAAAUAGUUAGGCUAAGUGCAUGCUGCACAGAACAAAAAUUGCAUUCAAGGUUGGAAGACUUAAUUGAUGUGCGUGUAGAAAAUAUACAAAAAAAAAAAAAGUGGUGAAAAUUUUGCAAAACCAUAAAAGGGAACAUAAACCAAAUAAAACCAAUAUAAAAGUGUUGUGGCUGCAAAGACGAAAACUUAAAAACCAACCCCUGGAUAAGGUACGCCAAGAAAAAAAUGAAAAAGUGACCUUAUUACAUAAUUCCAUGUAUGUACUGUACAUAGGUUAUGAUCCACGUGUGGCAGGAAAUUGCUGACCUGGCCUGACCCUCGGUCCCGGAGGGGGGGUCCGCUCCAGUACCACGAUCAUCAGUCCUUCUUUUUGGUGCCACCGGACCUUGCCUGCAGGUUGUUGGUUCAUACAUAUAUCGAGUUGUUUAUAUAUAUAUAUCUCACGCGCAACUAUAAAACCAUCUAUUAUAUUAUAUCACCGCGCCUUGUGUAAAGAAAUGUUGGUGCUUGCAUAUGUAGGGUGUGGAAAAAUUAGCUCAGCGGUCAUUGCCCUUGCGGCUGACCAUACACCUAUGCGCACUUAAAUAGACCCACCUGACCGUAUGUCACCUAUUCUCUCCUUCUCUCAGGUUAUUAAAAUUGUUCGAUGCCGACAUUCUAAAAGCCACUUAAGGGAAGAAAAGUAAAUCACAAAAAUCUAGAAAAGAAAACUUAAUGAAAAAUUAUGGAUAGAAGAAAAAAAAUAGAAAAGAAAAUUGUUCAAUAAUAUUAAAUAUUCCUAGACAUUAACUUAGAAAUAGAAGAAGAAAAACAUGAAAUUUAUGCGUAGUUAAUAAUAGAUUCUAAAAGGGUGCAUCAUCGGUCUCAUUGUGUCCAUGGAAGGGUAUUGGUAAAAUACCUCUUNAAAGUGUUGUGGCUGCAAAGACGAAAACUUAAAAACCAACCCCUGGAUAAGGUACGCCAAGAAAAAAAUGAAAAAGUGACCUUAUUACAUAAUUCCAUGUAUGUACUGUACAUAGGUUAUGAUCCACGUGUGGCAGGAAAUUGCUGACCUGGCCUGACCCUCGGUCUCGGAGGGGGGGUCCGCUCCAGUACCACGAUCAUCAGUCCCUCUUUUUGGUGCCACCGGACCUUGCCUGCAGGUUGUUGGUUCAUACAUAUAUCGAGUUGUUUAUAUAUAUAUAUCUCACGCGCAACUAUAAAACCAUCUAUUAUAUUAUAUCACCGCGCCUUGUGUAAAGAAAUGUUGGUGCUUGCAUAUGUAGGGUGUGGAAAAAUUAGCUCAGCGGUCAUUGCCCUUGCGGCUGACCAUACACCUAUGCGCACUUAAAUAGACCCACCUGACCGUAUGUCACCUAUUCUCUCCUUCUCUCAGGUUAUUAAAAUUGUUCGAUGCAGACAUUCUAAAAGGCACUUAAGGGAAGAAAAGUAAAUCACAAAAAUCUAGAAAAGAGAAUUUAAUGAAAAAUCAUGGAUAGAUGAAAAAAAAUAGAAAAGAAAAUUGUUCAAUAAUAUUAAAUAUUCCUAGACAUUAACUUAGAAAUAGAAGAAGAAAAACAUGAAAUUUAUGCGUAGUUAAUAGUAGAUUCUAAAAGGGUGUAAGAUCGGUCUCAUUGUGUCCAUGGAAGGGUAUUGGUAAAAUACCUCUUCAAAACGCUUCUUGUUAUUUUGCAUAUUUCUACAUUUCUUUAACAGUUAGAACGUGAAAUUGGGCCCAACGACACCAACAGCUGUUUAAAGGUCUGUAAGUAGACACACAUAUACACACAUACACUCCGGGUCAGGAGAAUAGCGUCUACACAGUGAGACAUUCAUGCUUAACCAUAUAUAAAAUGAAUUAUUAUUAACUAUAAUCACUAAAAUUAUGCCAUUUAAUUCAUUUAAUUAAUUAAUU